GCGCGAAAACUUUACAAUGCGGGAAACCGUGAUAAGGGAAUCUCGAGUGCCAGCAUAUAAUGUUGGCUGUCCAGAUGCCUAAAAAGCAUCUGUUAGCAAGGGCCGGGCAAGACCGGUGCCAGCCGCCGCGGUAACACCGGCGGCCCGAGUGGUAACCGCUUUUAUUGGGUCUAAAGGGUCUGUAGCCGGCCAAGUAAGUCCCUUGGGAAAUCUGGCAGCUUAACUGUCAGGCUGCUAGGGGAUACUGCUAGGCUUGGGACCGGGAGAGGUGAGAGGUACCUUGGGGGUAGGGGUGAAAUCUUGUGAUCCUCGGGGGACCACCAGUGGAGAAGGCGUCUCACCAGAACGGGUCCGACGGUAAGGGACGAAAGCUAGGGGCACGAACCG
rnacentral:rRNA from 1 species